GAUGAACGCUAGCGGCAGGCUUAAUACAUGCAAGCCGUGGGGCAGCAGGAAGUAGCAAUACUUUGCUGGCGACCGGCAAACGGGUGCGUAACACGUACGCAACUUUCCCUUUACUGGAAGAUAGCCCACCGAAAGGUGGAUUAAUACUCCAUACUAUAAUGAAACGGCAUCGUUUUAUUAUCAAAGCUCAGGCGGUAAAGGAUGGGCGUGCGGCUGAUUAGAUAGUUGGCGGGGUAACGGCCCACCAAGUCUACGAUCAGUAGCUGAUGUGAGAGCAUGAUCAGCCACACGGGCACUGAGACACGGGCCCGACUCCUACGGGAGGCAGCAGUAAGGAAUAUUGGUCAAUGGACGCAAGUCUGAACCAGCCAUGCCGCGUGAAGGAUGAAGGUCCUCUGGAUUGUAAACUUCUUUUAUAUGGGACGAAACACUUUCUUUCUAGAGAGCUUGACGGUACCAUAGGAAUAAGCACCGGCUAACUCCGUGCCAGCAGCCGCCGUAAGAC
rnacentral:rRNA from 1 species